UACAGAGAGUGCAAGCGUUAAUCGGAGUUACUGGGCGUAAAGCGCACGUAGGUGGGUAAUUUAGUCGGAUGUGAAAUCCCCGGGCUCAACCUGGGAAUUGCAUCCGAUACUGGUUAUCUAGAGUAUGGUAGAGGGAAGUGGAAUUUCUGGUGUAGCGGUGAAAUGCGUAGAUAUCAGAAAGAACACCAGUGGCGAAGGCGGCUUCCUGGACUAAUACUGACACUGAGGUGCGAAAGCGUGGGUAGCAAACAGG
rnacentral:rRNA from 1 species